GUUGUUUCGGCUCCUGUUCUGUGGGCGGCUGAGGACCGCCGGCUGCCCGGCUCGGAGAAGAACAGGUGGAAAGAAAAGUGAAAACAGCUGAGCUGAGUAAGGAAGACGAAGAACACUGAAAACAGUUACAAGGAAGACACAGUAAGAUGUGAUCUUCUAAAGUGAAAAUUUCCCAAAGUACCAAGGAAAAGGAGAAACUGCAGAAGAGCUUCAAGAACCACAAACACUUGGGUUUUGCAUCUUGCCAGAAAAUCUGCACUGUUGGUAGAAGCCUGGGGUAGGGCUGGCAGGACCUGACUCAGCGGAGAAAAUGCCACCCACAGUCACUGACUCUGCUUCCGCAGUAGCGGAGCUCCCCUGUUUUCUCUGGAGGUUUCCCACAGCCGGGCCAAUACCCAUGUCUCUCAGAUGGGAAACUGGACUUUUGGAAAAUUGAAACUAAAUAAAGUUGUAUAACUUUUAAAAGAAG
rnacentral:lncRNA from 10 species